UUCAGUAGGGACGAAAAUGACGGUACCUGCAGAAGAAGCUCCGGCCAACUACGUGCCAGCAGCCGCGGUUAUACGUAGGGAGCAAGCGUUGUCCGGAAUUACUGGGCGUAAAGGGCRCGUAGGUGGUUGAGUAAGUCAGAUGUGAAAUCUCAGGGCCCAACCCUGAGCCUGCAUUUGAUACUGCUCUGACUAGAGUCCGGUAGGGGAGUGCGGAACUCCUGGUGUAGCGGUGAAAUGCGCAGAUAACAGGAAGAACACCGACAGCGAAGGUAGCACUCU
rnacentral:rRNA from 1 species